rnacentral:rRNA from 1 species
UUGACCCUACGGGACGCAGCAGUGGGGAAUAUUGCACAAUGGGGGAAACCCUGAUGCAGCGACGCCGCGUGAGUGAAGAAGUAUUUCGGUAUGUAAAGCUCUAUCAGCAGGAACGAGACAAGACGGUACCUGACUAAGAAGCCCCGGCUAACUACGUGCCAGCAGCCGCGGUAAUACGUAGGGGGCAAGCGUUAUCCGGAAUCACUGGGUGUAAAGGGAGCGUAGACGGCUGUGCACGCCUGAAGUGAAAGGCGGGGGCCCAACCCCCGGACUGCUUUGGGAACUGUA